GUCUGUACGGCGGAUAUAGAACUAAAAUUGGAUCGAACAGAGAAGAUUAGCACGGCCCCGCGUAAAGGGAUGACACGCAAAUCCGGAUGUAGAGCCUCCAUUUUU